CUGAAACCUUCCCCAUAAUAUUGAGUUUUAUAUACUUAGAUGAUGCUUCCCUCGAAAACGUCGAAGCCAAUAUUUUCGUGGAACUCUUAAAUGGGGCCAAGAAAUUCUUGCUGAAAGAAUUAGUCGAUAAAUGUGCGGAAAAAAUUAAUUGUCAAUAUGGGAAAAGGUUUAAGAAUAAUUUUCCGCUCGUUCUAUAUUUGUCGACUGCGCUACACCCAGAAAUUAGCAAAGCGGAUUGUCGACAUGCAAGGCAUUACCAGGUCUGUUCUCGCUUCCGAAAUGUUUAUGAAUGCUCCGUUUGAAUUAAUUUACGAUUUCGUUAGCUACAUAAACACGAAUAAUUUGGAGCCCAAGGCGUUGAUUUUCGAAUUUCUUCUAAAAUGGGGGAAAAAAGAAUGCGAAAAAGAAGGAAUUUUAGGCACCAACGAGAAUAUAAUGAGCGUAAUUAAGAAGAAUAGAUUCGAGCCAAUGUCCUACUUAGAAAGUUUUACCGUGACAGACAUCAUAAAUAUUAUUAAGAAGAGGAAUAUAUUGU